GCCUGCGAAAUACUUUGAUGAGCUAAUCGCGUUUUAUAUUCCGUAUCGAAGUCGGUCAGGCAGCUUGCGCGAAUUUAAACCUCUUUUUUUACCUCUUCCGUAUCAUUUGUGCAAGCGUGUUGAGCGGUAGUCGAGACCAGGCAUUGUCAGUUCACGAGGCUCAUCCACAGCACAACAGCCAACGAUGACGGACACGGCGAAUAACUCCUCCUCUGGUGUCAUCAACUUCGGCGCAGGCCCAGGAAAACUUCCGCGAAAGGUACUGAAAGACGUGCAAGACGAACUCCUUAGCUAUGCCAACACUAAAAUCAGCGUUCUCGAGCUCAGCCAUAGGUCAGGUGAUUUCAAGAAAAUCAUUGAAGACGCUCAAGCAAGCGUACGGGAUCUCUUAAAAAUUCCGGAUAACUACAAGGUCUUAUUUCUUCAAGGAGGUGGAACUGGUAUGUUCGCAGCUGUGCCUUUGAAUCUACUAAACGAAGCGGGAACAGCUGACUAUAUUGUUACUGGUUCGUGGUCUGCUAAGGCAGCCAAAGAAGCAGCAAAAUAUGCUAAAGUGAACUUGGUACUUCCCAAGGUCAACAAGUACACAGAUAUCCCCGAUCCAUCAACUUGGAAUUUGAAUCCAAAAGCUUCUUACGUUUAUUACUGUGCCAACGAAACGGUUCAUGGCAUCGAGUUUAACUACGUCCCUGAAGUUGGGGAUGUUCCUUUGGUAGCUGAUAUGUCCUCAAAUAUGUUGUCCCGUCCGAUUGACAUUUCAAAGUUUGCAGUCAUAUUUGCUGGUGCUCAGAAGAACAUCGGACCAGCAGGUGUUACUCUUGUCAUAGUCCGCGAUGACGUGCUUGGACAUCCUAAAUCAAUCUGCCCAUCAGUAUUGGACUUCUCUAUCAUGGCAACGGAUAAUUCUGUCCAUAAUACACCACCAACAUUCCAAAUAUACGUUGUGGGUCGAGUUUUCGACUGGAUUAAAGAAAACGGUGGAGUCGAAGGCAUGGAGAAACUGGCGAUAGCAAAGAGCAAAGCUAUAUAUGAUGUGAUCGAUAACUCAAAUGGAUUUUAUCACUGCCCGAUAAGACGUGAUGCUCGUAGCCGAAUGAAUAUUCCAUUCAGAAUUGGUGGCGAUGACGAAGACUUGGAAAAUACUUUCUUAACUGGGGCUUCAGCUCGUGGAAUGCUUCAGCUCAAGGGUCACAGAUCCGUUGGUGGUAUACGUGCCUCAUUGUACAACGCAGUGACUAUGGAAGAUGUCCAAGCAUUAGUAACCUACAUGAAUUAUUUUUACCGUCUACAUCGCAAACAGAAAGACUAGAAAAAAGGAUUAGCCGGCCUUCAGAAGUGAGUAAUAGCUCAUCGGCGUAAGCUUGGGCCACAACAUAUGGCAUACCUUCAGGAUCUAUCCCGGGCCAUCUUAGAUCAUCAGAUUCUAGCCUGGAGAUGAAAGAGAGAAUAAUGUUGUACCAAAAUGAUGAGUUGACUGAGGGUUAACGCAACAAAAAAAAAAAAAUGAAAGUACCAGUGUUAUGAUUUGAUAAUUCAACAGCUUGAUGCUGAUAUCGAACAGAUAUAGCUUCACCUAAAGCAAUCGCCAAGGAAACAGUAUCAUUACGAUCAAGACCAGCAACCAACUGAGGUUCGUUCGACGAAGUAGAUGCCGUAGAAUUAGUACUGGGGUCAGCUCUCACUUUUGAGAAAUUAGUGUACAGAGCAGCGCACAUGAUUUGGAGAAGGACUGAACCACCUAUGGGGUGGCAGUUCGCAGGAAUAUUAUUGUUUAUCCUCGAAGCUGUACGCAGUAAGCCUGCCGGUGCGCAAAUGUACAAUUCGCUGAAGCAGGCGAGGGCCAGUGACAUUGUUUGGUAAAUACUAGCUCCUGUCUAUCAAGUGUAAUAGUGUAUGGUUUAGGUAACGAUGAGGCACUUCAGAUGGGUAAAUCAUGCAUAGCACACUUACCUUGAUUGCGUCCAGCAGAGUUGUGAUAAUGGGUACCAUGAUGGGAUACAGAGGUGUAAUAAGAGCGUGUAGCCAUGGCGGUCUGAUUUGAUUCCAAACCUUGAAUGUCCCGAGAAAUGACCGAUUAACUGUGAGCAGGAUACUAUCAGUCAAUUCUUUACAAACAUUACCUGAUGUCUGUCUAAGCAGUUGGACCAGUCAGAAUCUUGUAGCAGUGCUGGAAUAAUAACAAUCAUCGCAUCCAUGUCUGCAAUUAUUGAGAUAUAGGUAAGGCUGUAAGCCCACAAAGCUGGACUACAAGCAGGGCGAGAGCAGGUUUGUCCUGAGCA
rnacentral:misc_RNA from 1 species